rnacentral:rRNA from 1 species
UAUUGAGUGGGGGACAACAUUCCGAAAGGAAUGCUAAUNCCGCAUACGCCCUACGGGGGAAAGCAGGGGAUCUUCGGACCUUGCGCUAAUAGAUGAGCCUAAGUCAGAUUAGCUAGUUGGUGGGGUAGAGGCCUACCAAGGCGACGAUCUGUAGCGGGUCUGAGAGGAUGAUCCGCCACACUGGGACUGAGACACGAUCCAACUCUCUACGGGAGGCAGCAGUGGGGAAUAUUGGACAAUGGGCGAAAGCCUGAUCCAGCCAUGCCGCGUGUGUGAAGAAGGCCUUUUGGUUGUAAAGCACUUUAAGCGAGGAGGAGGCUACUUGGAUUAAUACUCUAGGAUAGUGGACGUUACUCGCAGAAUAAGCACCGGCUAACUCUGUGCCAGCAGCCGCGGUAAUACAGAGGGUGCGAGCGUUAAUCGGAUUUACUGGGCGUAAAGCGUGCGUAGGCGGCUUUUUAAGUCGGAUGUGAAAUCCCUGAGCUUAACUUAGGAAUUGCAUUCGAUACUGGGAAGCUANAGUAUGGGAGAGGAUGGUAGAAUUCCAGGUGUAGCGGUGAAAUGCGUANAGAUCUGGAGGAAUACCGAUGGCGAAGGCAGCCAUCUGGCCUAAUACUGACGCUGAGGUACGAAAGCAUGGGGAGCAAACA